AAAAAAAAAAGGUGAAACGCCAAACAGCGCCAUUUUGACCUGGGAUUAAUAAACCCCCAUUUCUUCUUCUUCCCCACAUCUUCUUCUUCCCUUUGCAGGUCUGCUUCUUCCCACCAAUGGCAUAGCCCGCCGCUCCCCUCCUCCUGCACUACUACAUCGAAGCCAGACAAAUGAACCACAUUGACUUACACCAACACUGAGGCUACCAGUUUUCUCCCCCCCCCCCCCCCCCCCCCCCCCCCCCAAUCAGCUGGCUCGGCUGGUUCUGAACCUCACCAAAAGCCAUCAAUGCGGCGUCAAUUUUGGACAGAAAGCACACCGAAGAAGUCGAUUUUCGGCCUUAUAAAGAGAUACAAGUCUCUCUUGGCACCUUCUCAAACCUAAGCUUUUUCAAGUGACAUAAUCAACUUUGGUUUGUCCUAUAUUUCCAAGGAAAAUGGGGUCUCUUUCUCUGAAUUGAUCACAAGUAUGGCGAGUCUACUACAUGAAGAUGAUUGAGGUUUGAUGCGCAUUUGUGAAAUUAUGCAAAGCUUGGAAUGGCACUCGAGGUUUGGUUCUUUUGUUAAUAGAAAUUUGGAAUGGGAACAUUUAAUUUGGUUGGCACAAGAUGUUUGUUUUGUUGUUGUUUUAAUCGUUGGAGUCUGAACUUGUUCAUUGUAUAAUUUGGGAGGAUAGAUGAUGGAUGGAUGGAUGGAUGGAUGGAUGGUAAUGAUGGAUGUUGUUGGAUUUCUUUAGUUUUAUUUGUUGUUGGAACGAGACAAUAACAUACUUUUAAUUUGUGUUGUUGGUUGUUGUAGUGUGGAACAAGUAACAAUAUUUGAUGCCCUCUAAGUUUUUAGUUUUUUAUUUUUUUUAAAUGUUUUAUUUUGGGCUUGUAAGUUGUAUUAAAUUAGUAGCGAUUAGUGAUUAGUUGUAGAUUUGGUUAUGCU